rnacentral:rRNA from 1 species
AACGAACGCUGGCGGCAUGCCUAACACAUGCAAGUCGAACGAGACCUUCGGGUGUAGUGGCGCACGGGUGCGUAACGCGUGGGAACCUGCCCUUAGGUUCGGAAUAACUCCCCGAAAGGGGUGCUAAUACCGGAUAAUGACUUCGGACCAAAGAUUUAUCGCCUUUGGAUGGGCCCGCGUUGGAUUAGCUAGUUGGUAGGGUAAAAGCCUACCAAGGCGACGAUCCAUAGCUGGUCUGAGAGGAUGAUCAGCCACACUGGGACUGAGACACGGCCCAGACUCCUACGGGAGGCAGCAGUGGGGAAUAUUGGACAAUGGGCGAAAGCCUGAUCCAGCAAUGCCGCGUGAGUGAUGAAGGCCUUAGGGUUGUAAAGCUCUUUUACCCGGGAUGAUAAUGACAGUACCGGGAGAAUAAGCUCCGGCUAACUCCGUG